rnacentral:rRNA from 1 species
UACGGGGGGAGCAAGCGUUGUUCGGAUUUACUGGGCGUAAAGGGCGCGUAGGCGGUCACUACAGGUCAGUUGUGAAAUCUCUGGGCUUAACUCAGAACGGUCAACUGAUACUGUCGGACUAGAGUGCAGAAGGGGCAACUGGAAUUCUCGGUGUAGCGGUGAAAUGCGUAAAUAUCGAGAGGAACACCUGCGGCGAAGGCGGGUUGCUGGGCUGACACUGACGCUGAGGCGCGAAAGCUAGGGGAGCGAACGGG